AGGUUAGAGCGAUGCAACAAGCAACAGAGCGUAAGAUUAACGAGUUAAACGAAGACAGAAAAAGGGCUAUAAACGAACAACGAAGUGCUCUGAAAAAUCAACACAGUGCGGAAAUGGCAAAUAUGAAAAAACACCAAGAUGAACUUGUCACUGAAAGAAACAACAAGAUGCAACAAUAUCAACAGAUGCAAAACAAUCUCAAUCAGCAAAUUCAGCAGGCCCAUGUACAAAUCCAGCAACUUCAAAACAGGCCUCGUAAGUAUCGAUUAUAUUUAACCCGUUUCGGUUUUCUGUUUUGCUACCCAGACACUUGAAAUUUGAAAACAGGAUUUAAUGAAUCAAAUAUAUGUUGACUUCCCCGAAGAUCGCAAUAGCGCCUGAAACCCCGAGGAACAAAGAACUUUGUCAAAGAAAUUUGAUGUAAAUUUCCUAUUUUCUCAAAUGAAAGAACUCUUUAAGCUGUAGUGUAACUUAUUUUUCAGUUUCUUGUUUUUAUGGUUUGUUCCCGAGAUAUUUCAGUUUGUUACCUCCGCCAGGAGGUUAUGUAAUCAUCUGGGUUUGUAUGUGUGUGUGUAUGUGUGUGUGUGUGUGUGUGUGUGUGCGUGUUUGUCUGUGAGCACGAUAACUCAAGAAAUACCAAACAUAUCCGUACGAAAUUUUGUGAGUGCAUUUCCCAUCGGCUAAGGAAGAACUGAUUAAAAUUUGGUUGAAUUUGGUUAAAAAUUGAAUGAGAAACAACAAAAGUUUGUCUUGCUUUUCCCGGUCAAUUAAAUAAAACUUAUACUGAAUGCGUAAUUAGGACGUGCAUAAUAUAUGCACAAGCCAUUCAAAUUCUAAUAACAAUAGAUUACUUCAAUAUUUUGCGCGUAGGCGGAGGUAUGCAGUCUCUGAGUGCCCUCUAGUUUGAUAUGUAAAUGAGUGUGAAUAUGUCCGCUAAUUUAUGGAGUCAUAUUGGUUGCAAGCUCGACUUACACUGGUUACCUCCGCCAGGAGGUUAUGUAAUCAUCGGGGUUUGUUACCUCCGCCAGGAGGUUAUGUAAUCAUCUGGGUUUGUAUGUGUGUAUGUGUGUGUGUGUAUGUGUGUGUGUUUGUCUGUGAGCACGAUAACUCAAGAAAUACCAAACAUAUUCAUACAAAAUUUUUUGAAUGCAUUUCCCAUCGGCUAAGGAAGAACUGAUUAAAAUUUGGUUGAAUUUGGUUAAAAAUUGAACGAGAAAUGAUCAAAAUUUUGUCUUGCUUUUCCCGGUCAAUUAACAAAAAUAUUACUGAAUGCGUAAUUAGGACGUGUAUAAUUUAUGCACGCAGUACUAAGACAAUAAUGAGAUGAUAAACCUCAUUAAGCUUCGGCCUUCAUUACCUAUUGUCUUAGUUGCAUUUCAAGCGACCGAAAUUCAAUGUCUAAAACAAGGCUUACGGAGUUACGCAUUAUUACGUUCAGCAAAGUGCCAGUCCAUUCAAAUUCUAACAACAUUUAACAACAUUAGAUUACUUCAAUACAGGGUGUAUAAAAAAAACGCAAUCUCGGAAUUUCCCAAGAAAUCGACAUUGUUUUAAAGACAAAAGAUUUUAGCUGCCUGGGAAUUUAAAAUAGCACAACUGUGAAAAUUACUGCACGCGCGAGUGCAUAAAGCAAAAUUUAUGCAUUUAUUUAAUGACACUUAAUAAGUUUUUAUUUUACAAGUAGUGUACAGUACAACAACAGUAAUAUGAUCUAUUAGCAAUUCGAUUUCAAUUCGCGGGGGCCUAAAAUCUUUUAUGCUUAAGAAUUAUAAAGUGGAUUUCUUAGGAAAUUCCAAGGUUGCGUAUCACUUCCGAGUAACGGGCGGAGGUAUGCAGUCUCUGAGUGCCCUCUAGUUACCUCCGCCAGGAGGUUAUGUAAUCAUCUGGGUUUGUAUGUGUGUGUGUAUGUGUGUGUGUGUGUAUGUGUGUGUGUGUGUUUGUCUGUGAGCACGAUAACUCAAGAAAUACCAAACAUAUCCGUACGAAAUUUUUUGAAUGCAUUUCCCAUCGGCUAAGGGAGAACUGAUUAAAAUUUGGUUGAAUUUGGUUAAAAAUUGAACGAGAAAUGAACAAAAUUUUGUCUUGCUUUUCCCGGUCAAUUAACAAAAAAUAUUACUGAAUGCGUAAUUAGGACGUGUAUAAUUUAUGCACUCAGUGCUAAGACAAUAAUGAGAUGAUAAACCUCAUUAAGCUUCGGCCUUCAUUAUCUAUUGUCUUAGUUGCAUUUCACGCGACCGAAAUUCAAUGUCUAAAACAAGGCUUACGGAGUUACGCAUUAUUACGUUCAGCAAAGUGCCAGCCAUUCAAAUUCUAACAACAUUAGAUUACUUCAAUACAGGGUGUAUAAAAAGAACGCAACCUCGGAAUUUCCCAAGAAAUCGACAUUGUUUUAAAGACAAAAGAUUUUAGCUGCCUGGGAAUUUAAAAUAGCACAACUGUGAAAAUUACUGCACGCGCGAGUGCAUAAAGCAAAAUUUAUGCAUUUAUUUAAUGACACUUAAUAAGUUUUUAUUUUACAAGUACUGUACAGUGCAACAACAGUAAUAUGUUCUAUUAGUUCAAAUUUGUGCGGAUUUCUAUUGUUCUCAGUCGGGUUUUAUUUGGGUAAGAUUCUUAAAGCAAGGGGAGGGAUUUGAUAUCUCUCCAGGGAAAAGUGGGGUUGAUGAAUAGAAUUGAAUUAAUAAUUAUAAAUUCACGGGUUUUAUCUAUAUAAAACCCGGCUUUAUAUAGAUAAAACCCUAGGAAAGCCGGGUUUUAUACAGAUAAACCCCGAUGCAGAAAUGCACCGACUUACUGCUUUUACACACACUACAAUCAAAACAUUACAAAAGUUAAUAAUUACACUGACAAUGUACCGUAUACUAUACAUGUACCAGUUGUUCCACUCUGUCCCUAACACGCUAUAGCUAUAUAUUUCGUACGAUAAAACUCAAACUCAAAUUGUUCAAAUUAAUAGAAGUUAAAAAGAACUUCCCUCCGGCAUUUCUAGCCGUGCUCUCUUCCUUUCCAUAUGUUUAUGCUGCAUCUCUUCCUUCGUAGAAUUUCUCUUCUCAGCCAUCGGCAUCAGGUCUUCACUCGCACUGUUAACUUUGCAGCCCCUGCUAACGCGACAAUACAAAGAUUUUGAUAUUUCAAUCAGUUUUGUUUUAAUAUCGGGUCUUUCAUAUUUCUGCAACGAUCUUAUGUCGCGAUGACCAGUCCAUCCUUUUGCGGUAUAAAGAUAUCUUCGUCGCUGUUUGUGUCGUUCAUAGUUUAACCACCGCUCAUUCUUCAUGCAUGCAUACAUACAUAACUGAAGAAAAUGGUUCAUCUACAUGUCUAGCUAAAUUUCUAUAUGAAUUUACAGUAUGCUGUACGAACAAUAAUUUAGAAUAUUAAUUCAUUUCCCUAGUUAAUUAACAAAAUAUGACUGCUAUAAGUGUUAAUGAAGUACACAAAUCAUAUAGAAUGCUUUAACGUAUACAGACAAAAGAAAAUUUAUAAAGCGUGACUUUCCUUAAUUUCCUUUUGUUGUACCUUGUGCAUACACUUGACCAUUCACUGAUUUCCUUGUUCUGCCUUGUAAUAAUUUUAGUUUAUGCUUAUACUGUACAUGCAUGUACCUUUGAAUUCCUUAAUGAGUAGUGGGCGUAAGUAUGAUCAUUUUUUAAAAUCCUUACAAAUUUGAACUAAGUCAGUUAAUUACCUCGAACGUCGGUUUCUUAGCGAGAUACAUCCCUCGGGAGUGUUGCCCUCAGAAAGCAUCACUCGGGCCUACGGCCCUCGGGAUGCUUUCUUCGGGACACGCCCCUCGGGUUGUAUCUCGCUAAGAAACCUCGUUCUCGGUAAUUAACUCUUACUUAGCAAUUCAAUUUCAAUUCGCGGGGGCCUGAAAUCUUUUAUGCUUAAGAAUUAUAAAGUGGAUUUCUUAGGAAAUUCCAAGGUUGCGUUUCACUUCCGAGUAACGGGCGGAGGUAUGCAGUCUCUGAGUGCCCUCUAGUUAUAAAUGUAUUAACUCUAAAAACUGUUGACAUAAGUUCAAGUUUUUCUCCAGUUAUUCAUCACAUUUACCAGUGAGUGAAGUUUGAAAUUAUUAUCCUGGAUGAUAGCAGUGAUAUUCAACCAUUUUGAAGAGCUUGUAACCAACAUGACGUCAUAAAUUAGCGGACAUAUUCACAUCAUUUACAUAUCAAACAAUUUGAAAUAUCUCGGGAACAAACCAUAAAAAGAAGAAACUGAAAAAUAAGUUACACUAUACAGCUUAAAGAGUUCUUUCAUUUGAGAAAAUAAGAAAUUUCAUGUGAUAUACACUUUAAGCGAGAACGUGAUUACAGUCAAAAUACAAGAACCUUCCCACUUCCGCUAUUGUUGUAAUUUUCUGUAAAUUGUUCUGUUUUUCUGUAGCGAUUACCAAAUUAUCAACAAAUAUGGCGACAAACUUUACUUUACUUUGUUUUUGUUUGAUAAUUUCUGGCGAAGGAUGCAUUUUUCGUUAUAUUCGCUGCAUUUUAGCACAUAAAAUCUGCGUAUUUAUCUAUAAAUCGGUAACCAUUACAGUAUACAGUACAGUACAAUAUCAACAGAUUACAGAAGCGGAAGUGGGAAAGCUCUUGUAUUUUGACUGUAAAUUUUCUCUACUUUAAUAUUUCAAGUGUUGAGAACUGAUUAUGAAGCCAUUUGUUUGCACAUCAUAAGUCCGUUUUGUUGUGCUCCCAUGAGAUGUGGGUUUGCAGAUGUACGGAAUUCCACCAGGGCCCCCUGGUUAUUUAUCCACCUAAAAUUGUAUGUAAAUUUAACCAGGAUCACGUCAUGCAUCGUUAAACAUAUAUAGCCAGAUUAUUGGUUACGUUAACUACACAUUUUGUUUAUGUUGCAGCUGUGGUUAUUCAUGAAGAAAGAGGAGGUAUUUGUUCUGUCAUGUGAGGUGAAAAAGGCUGAAAAUUCAUAGGCGUAACUUAUAGUCAAUAUUAGCAUAUCGACCAACUUCAACUGGAAAUCUAUGUGCAGAUAUCCUAAACCUUGUAACCGCUUGGCGGUGUUUUACAUUUCUGACCGAAAACAAAUAACUUUCAACAUGCCAACUUGGUUUUACAAGGUUUAAGAUUCGUAAUUUGUUGCACUGUUGAAUCUGAUCUUUCCAUAUGGUAUUAUAUCCAGUGCUGCAAAAUUACCGUCCAAAAAGGAAUUAAUUACAAAUAAAAUUACUGUCUUUAAAAUGUAAUAAAUUACUGAUAACAAUUACUUCUUCAGGAAAGUAAUUAAUUACAAUGUGAUUAGAAGCGAACUUUCUCUAAGCCUCAUUUAACUGUAAUAAUUUUGUUUUUAGUAACGACCAGAAGGGUUUCUUUGUAACAAAUUUAAUAAAUUGUAACAACGUUUCGGAGUUUACUCCAUCAUCAGGUUACAUUUAUACGCACUAAAAAAACCCAGUUUUUUUUUAAGUGCGUAUAAAUGUAACCUGAUGAUGGAGUAAACUCCAAAACGUUGUUACAAUUUAUUAAAUUUGUUAUAAAAGAGCCUUCUGGUCGUUACUAAAAACAAAAAUAAUUAAUUACAGUAACAAAAUUACCAUUUAGAAAUGUAAUUAAUUACAAAUUACACAGUCGUGAUUUUGUAAUGUCCAGUGUUCGCAAAGUGAAGAAAAACGAUUGAACAACUCAACGGUUAUACACCCAUCAAUUAUAAUGUUUUGAAUCUAUUUCAAAACUUAAAGUUUAUACGGUAUAUAUACGGU
rnacentral:lncRNA from 1 species